GUACAAACAAUUUUUCUAUUUCAGGUCUGUUUUCUUCGUGAACGAUUAAUUAGAAUGUCACAUUCCAGAUUUUACCGGACGUCGGCUGAAAAAAUUGCGGUGAUGACUGUCUUGAUGCAAAUUGAUGAAGGACGGAUCCGCUUGUCGGCUGCUUGGCUGUUCGACGUUGGGGUCCAUCUCAUUCCAGCAUUGACAGGCGCUGUAGUGACUUAUAUGGUAAUUCUUCUUCAAAAUUAAUCAACGCACUUAUUUAACAAUUUUCUUGGUAAAAACCGGGUUUUUUUGAGCGG